UGGCUCAGUGGUAGAGCGCAUGCCUUGAAUGCAUGAGGCCCUGGGUUCGAUUCCUCAG
rnacentral:tRNA from 1 species